AUUUAUCUUCUCUGCAAAAGCUAAGCAAACACAUUUUAUUUGAUGGGAGCCAAGUGAUAUAAAUAGAAAAGGGGAAAGAAAAAAACAUUACUGACUUCACAAGGUACAGAAUGUCUGCAAGUAAUCAAACACACCUGAAGACCCUUCGAGAGAUAGGAAAAUAUCAAGAUCCAGAGCACAGCUUCCGGAGCCAUUCUGCCUGGAAUCAGGUCAUCAUUCCACACCUGACCCAGGGCUUCUUGAUUCACCUAGCUUCACAAGAGCCAAGAGUUUCUGCCAUCAGGUGUGUUGAUGGAGAGCGGUCAUACAGUGCUAGUAAUUGCCUUGGAUUCCUGUGCUGUCCUUCAUCAGGGACCUUUAAUGAAGUCUGAGUUGUAGUCCAGUGGAUGCCAGACUGGAAUGCAGGGAGGCUGAAAGCUGACACCAGUUCAACGGAGCCAAGGGCCAGGCGCUAAGGUUGUCUCCAUGACAACCUGCGGAUUUUCCUGGUGAUGCAUUUACACAGCAGGUUAAAGUUCUGUGAAUCAACAGCUGUUGUAAAAACAGUAUAUUAAAUAUGCU
rnacentral:lncRNA from 1 species